rnacentral:rRNA from 1 species
CAGUCGUACCGACGGAAAAUCAUCUCUUCGAGUGCUUACUUGUGGGUUACUUGUGAACUCCGGCCUUCAUGCCUUCAUAUUCCUGUACUUUGGGUGUACUUGCUCGUGUGGUAGGUUAACAUUUAUUUCGAUCAUCAUAAAAUGGUUGGAGGAAAGUACCUUCCAUCUCCUAUUGAAGUGGUAUAGCCUUUAGCAUAUGUGAUGAUUGGGAUUGAGGAUUGCAACUGAUACCCUUAAGGGCUACGCGUCUGAUCUCUGAAUGUUACUCUGGUACCGGAAGCUUGCUUACGGUUCCAAAGUUGACGUUCAACAGGUUAAAACGGGUUAAA